UACGUAGGUGGCAAGCGUUGUCCGGAAUUAUUGGGCGUAAAGGGCGCGUAGGCGGUUAUUUAAGUCAGUUGUGAAAACUCUGGGCUUAACCGAGAGAUUGCAGUUGAUACUGGGUAACUUGAGUGCAGGAGAGGACAGUGGAAUUCCUAGUGUAGCGGUGAAAUGCGUAGAGAUUAGGAAGAACACCAGUGGCGAAGGCGAUUCUCUGGACUGUAACUGACGCUGAGGCUCAAAAGCGUGGGGAGCAAACAGGAUUAGAUACCCCGGUAGUCCCU
rnacentral:rRNA from 1 species